UACGUAGGCGGAAAAUUAAGUCAGUAGUGAAAUCCUGCAGCUUAACUGUAGAACGGUUAUUGAUACUGGUUUUCUUGAAUAUAGUUGAGGUAGGCGGAAUGUGUAAUGUAGCGGUGAAAUGCUUAGAUAUUACACAGAACACCGAUUGCGAAGGCAGCUUACUAAGCUAUGAUUGACGCUGAGGUACGAAAGCGUGGGGAGCGAACAGGAUUAGUUACCCUGGUAGUCC
rnacentral:rRNA from 1 species